CCUACGGGCGGCAGCAGUGAGGAAUAUUGGUCAAUGGGCGCAAGCCUGAACCAGCCAAGUCGCGUGAGGGAAGACGGCCCUAUGGAUUGUAAACCUCUUUUGUCGGGGAGCAAAAGACGCCACGCGUGGCGUUCCGAGAGUACCCGAAGAAAAAGCAUCGGCAAACUCCGGGCCAGCGGCCGCGGUAAUACGGAGGGUGCGAGCGUUAUCCGGAUUUAUUGGGUUUAAAGGGUGCGUAGGGGGAAGAUCAAGUCAGCGGUAAAAUUGAGGGGCUCAACCUCGUCGAGCCGUUGAAACUGGUGUUCUUGAGUGAGUGAGAAGUAUGCGGAAUGCGUGGUGUAGCGGUGAAAUGCAUAGAUAUCACGCAGAACUCCGAUUGCGAAGGCAGCAUACCGGCGCUCAACUGACGCUCAUGCACGAAAGUGUGGGUAUCGAACAGGAUUAGAUACCCGGGUAGUC
rnacentral:rRNA from 1 species